UGUAUUUUUGGGCAAAGUGAUCGAAAGAUUAUGACGCAAAGCUACAGGACCUGUAAAAUGGUAGCCAGUUGUAACC
rnacentral:ncRNA from 1 species